ACAAUACCAAAAACUAAUCAACAAUACCAGAAAUUCCAACCAAACUAUCCACUCAAUGCAAUCUUGGCAAUGUCAUUUUUACCCUGCCACUUUCACAGCCACUACCAACCACCGUCAAACCAAACACCAACUGUAUAUAUUAACUGAAAUUCAAAUCCCAAAUCCCCCUCAAAACCCUAAACCCUAACCCUAAUUCCCAAAUCCACAAUUCACUUCCAAUGGACUCCAUUACCGUCCUAAUGACCAGCCCAAUGUCCGAUUACCUCGAAAAACAACUCAAAGACCGGUUCAACCUCGUCAAGCUCUGGACCUAUUCCUCAAAAACCCAUUUUUUCAAGCACAAUUCCCAUUCAAUCAGAGCAAUAGUCGGAAACACCAAAAUUGGCGCCGACGCCGAGCUCAUCGACUCGUUGCCAGAGCUGGAGAUUGUCUCGAGUUACAGUGUUGGUUUGGACAAGAUUGAUCUGAGGAAAUGUCAGGAAAAGGGGAUUAGGGUCACAAACACGCCGGAUGUGUUGACGGAUGAUGUUGCAGAUGUGGCGAUGGGGUUGAUGUUGGCGGUUACGAGGAGGGUUUGCGAGUGUGACCGGUUUGUUAGACGUGGGUUGUGGCCGAAAGGCGAUUUCAGAUUGACUAAUAAGUUCAGUGGUAUGCAAGUUGGAAUUGUUGGGUUGGGCAGGAUUGGUUCAGCAAUUGCAAAGAGAGCUGAAGCAUUUGGAUGCCCUAUCAGUUACUAUUCUAGAUCUGAGAAACCAGAAACAAAUUACAAGUACUUUUCGAACAUUAUUGACUUGGCUGUCAAUUGUCAAAUUCUUGUUGUUGCGUGUGCUCUGACAAAAGAAACCCACCAUAUUAUCAAUCGUGAAGUCAUUGAUGCAUUGGGUCCAGAGGGCAUUCUCAUCAACAUUGGACGAGGCUCACAUAUUGACGAACCCGAACUUGUGUCUGCACUCCUUGAAGGCCGUUUGGGCGGGGCUGGGCUCGAUGUCUUUGAAAACGAGCCAGAGGUUCCUGAACAACUGUUUGGGCUUGAAAAUGUAGUUCUCAUGCCUCAUGUGGGGAGUGACACUGUGGAAACCGCUGAUGCAAUGGCAGACCUUGUCAUAAAGAACUUGGAGGCGCACUUUUUAAAGAAGCCACUCUUAACUCCGGUAGUUUGAUAUUAUUAAGAAGGGUCUUCAAUGGAUAGAAUUUUGAGCACCUUGAGGCCAUCGAGUUUGUCACCUAUGCUGUCUUUCAAAACUUCAAUGUGUUCAUCACAUUUGGGGAAAAGUAAAUACAAGGAAAGAUAGAAUUUGAAGGAAGCUUAAGGGCAGUACGAAAGCUCAAUUAUCUGUGCUUGAAAUUUUCAUUAAAAAAUAAUGACACUACUGCUUUAAAUUGUGAUAAUUUCAUUAUCUGGUUUUUAGAUAAAGUAUAAGUCUUGAGUAUAUCCAAACAAAAAAUUAAUUGAGCAUAUGCUCUUAGCUAUAUAUGGAAGUACCUUUAUGCUCUUAACUCACUUUUAAGCUCAUGCAUUCGUUAUUGGCUUCCAAAGAGAACCUCAUUCGGAUUUACAUAUAUCUAACAUUAUUUCAGUUAUGUUUGUUACUUAUUUGAACGAGACCUGCCUUCUUCGUUAAUGGCAUUUUUAAUGCCAUCAAGUAAAGUCACAGCAUAUAAGCCCCUGAUUUUAGCUUGAGCACAGAAACCUAACAGAAACAUGUAGUCCUUCACCUUUUUUUUUUUUUUGGGAUAAGUAAGAAAGAUGUAUAUUCAAAAAACUGCUUUACACAAAGAAGCACAAAGCAUAUCAAAGAUUGUAAAAAAGAGAGAAAAGCAAAAACGGAUAAAAGAAACUAAUUACAAAGAAAAAGAGAGCUAAGGAACAAAGGGAGAGAUUCACUAGAUGUGAGUCCCCAAGCCUUAGACCAAUCAAAAAGGGAAACAGUAAAGGAAGCAAGCAACUGGUCAUCAGAUCUAUCCAAGUCCUCAAAACUCCAUUGGUUACGUUCUUUCCAGAUACACCACAUCAAACACAAUAGAACUAAAUUCUAAAUGUUAGAUGAGGGCUUCCCCAACCAAUUCCACCAGCCAAAAAGGAAAUCUGCAACCGAUCUUGAAAGAACCCGUGGAAUCCCAAAAGUUCUAAAGACAAAACUCCACAAACGAUGGGCCUUCCUUCCCACAAUGUAGCAACAAAUGAUCUAUUGUCUCCCCACAACAACACAUGAUGCACCAAUUAACAAAAUCAAAACCCCUACUCCGCAAAUUAUCACCUGUGAGAAUCCUAUCCCAGGCGACUGUCCAAACAAAAAAAGAGACACGUCUAGGUGCCUUGAUCUUCCAAAUACCUUUCCAGGAAAAAACAAUGGAAGAGGAACCACAUAACUCAUGAUAAAACGAGCGGAUAUUAAAAUCCCUAUUGUUUGUCAACCCAUCUCAUAUGAUCAGCCUCAUCCACUGAAGGUAAAUUGGCAGCCAAGAACCAAAUGAAUUCAUCCACCAUCUCCAUCUCCAUCUCCUAAUCAUUAGGAACCCGAAUAAAAUGAACAUCCCAACUUCUCCUGCCCCCCACUCCUUGCCUUAUCAGCAAAGAAUCAACAGAGGCAGCUCUGUUAGUAGCAAGAUUGUAUAAGACCGGAUAAGCCAAAUGAAGAGGAAGAUCCCCACUCCACUGAUCUGUCCAAAAUUUCACUCUAUUUCCCACCCCAACCUAAAACUAGAUGUGUUUGCUAAAAGCAUUCCACCCCAUCCAGAUACUUCUCCACAAACCACACCCAUGAACGCCCCUUCACAUUUUCUAAUGGACCAUAGGUAUCUUAAUGACUGAUGCAUAAAUGCAUGAAUACCUCAAGCAAGAACUUGAAAAAAAGUUCAAAAUACUUAAACUAUGGAACUAUACUUCAUUGACUGAAUUCCUGAAAGAGGACUCAAAUUCAGUACAAGCAGUAGUAGCAAGCAUAUGGAAUGGUGCUGAUGCUGAGCUUAUCGAUUCUUUGCCUAAAUUGUAGAUUGUUUUGGCUUACAACGUGGGGUUCGACAAGAUUGAUUUGGUGAAAUGUAAAGAAUAGGGAAUUCAUGUUACAAAUACACCCAAUGUGUUAACAGAUGAUGUUGCAGACAUGGCAAUAGGGUUGACAUUGCGGUGUUGAGGAUUUUUGUGGCUGGUUGUUUUGUGAGGACUGGGGCAUGGUAGAAAGGGGAUUUCAAAUUGACAACAAAGUUCGGCGGUCAAUCAGUUGGAAUUGUUAGGUUGUGCCGGAUUGGUUUAGCAAUUGCGAAGAGAGCUGAAGCAUUUGGUUGCCCCAUCCGUUACUGCUCUAGAGCUGAAAAACAAUAUCCAAAUUGCAAAUACCAUUCCACUAUUGUUGACUUUGCCUCAAAUUGUCAAAUUCUCAUUUUGGCAUGCAAUCUCUCAGAUGAAACCUGCCACAUUGUUAAGUGUUAACUGUGAAGUCAUUGAUGCAUUGGGGGGUCAAACGACAUUAUCAUCAACAUUGGACAAGGUCCACUCAUUGAUGAAACCCAACUUGCUUCUGCAAUGUUUGAAGGCUGGCUGGGUGGGGCAGGACUUGAUGUGUUUGAAAAUGAGCCAGAGGUUCCUGAACAACUGUUUGGGCUUGAAGAUGUAGUCCUCCUGCCUCGUCGGGAGUGAGAUUGGAAGCCCUGCAAGGCAAUGGCAGACCUUGUGGUCAUGAACUUGGAAGCAUACUUUCAAAACAAGCCUCUUUUUAACUCUGUCUGGACUUUUAAGGAAGGUACAUGGGCAUGAGCAGUUGGUUUUUUUGGCUUUGUUUUGCUAUAAUGCUAUCAUUACUGAUUUAGAUGUCGAUGUAUUGAACAUUAUUCUCUUCACGAGCAUUUUGUAGUAAAAUAAUUGUCAUAUAAAAAAUGGCAGUGACAUAUUUUUCUCA